GACGAACGCUGGCGGCGUGCUUAACACAUGCAAGUCGAACGGAAAGGCCCUGCUUUUGUGGGGUUCUCGAGUGGCGAACGGGUGAGUAACACGUGAGUAACCUGCCCUUGUCUUUGGGAUAACUUCAGGAAACUGGGGCUAAUAUCGCAUAUGAGCUUCUGCUGCAUGGUGGGGGUUGGAAAGUUUCGGCGGUUGGGGCUGGACUCGCGGGUUAUCAGCUUGAUGGUCGAGUAGUUGCGUUCCAAGGCUUUGACGGGUAGCCGGCCUGAGCGGGUGAACGGCCACAUUGGGACUGAGAUACGGCCCAGACUCCUACGGGAGGCAGCAGUGGGGAGUAUUGCACAAUGGGCGGAAGCCUGAUGCAGCAACGCCGCGUGCGGGAUGACGGCCUUCGGGUUGUAAACCGCUUUCGCCUGUGACGAAGCGUGAGUGACGGUAAUGGGUAAAGAAGCACCGGCUAACUACGUG
rnacentral:rRNA from 1 species